rnacentral:rRNA from 1 species
GAUGAACGCUGGCGGCGUGCCUAAUACAUGCAAGUCGAGCGAACGGACGAGAAGCUUGCUUCUCUGAUGUUAGCGGCGGACGGGUGAGUACCACGUGGAUAACCUACCUAUAAGACUGGGAUAACUUCGGGCACCCGGAGCUCAUACCGGCUGAUAUUUUGAACCGCAUGGUUCAAAAGUUAAAGACGGUCUUGCUGUCACUUAUAGAUGGAUCCGCUCUGCAUUAGCUAGUUGGUAAGGUAACGGCUUACCAAGGCAACGAUGCGUAGCCGACCUGAGAGGGCGAUCGGCCACACUGGAACUGAGACACGGUCCAGACUCCUACGGGAGGCAGCAGUAGGGAAUCUUCCGCAAUGGGCGAAAGCCUGAUGGAGCAAUGCCGCGUGAGUGAUGAAGGUCUUCGGAUCGUAAAACUCUGUUAUUAGGGAAGAACAGAUGUGUAAGUAAAUGUGCACAUCUUGACGGUACCUAAUCAGUAAGCCCCGGCUAACUACGUG